AUUGAACGCUGGCGGCAUGCCUUACACAUGCAAGUCGAACGGCAGCACGGGAGCAAUCCUGGUGGCGAGUGGCGAACGGGUGAGUAAUAUAUCGGAACGUGCCCGGUCGUGGGGGAUAACGUAGCGAAAGCUACGCUAAUACCGCACACGAUCUACGGAUGAAAGCGGGGGAUCGCAAGACCUCGCGCGAUUGGAGCGGCCGAUAUCAGAUUAGGUAGUUGGUGAGGUAAAGGCUCACCAAGCCGACGAUCUGUAGCUGGUCUGAGAGGACGACCAGCCACACUGGGACUGAGACACGGCCCAGACUCCUACGGGAGGCAGCAGUGGGGAAUUUUGGACAAUGGGCGCAAGCCUGAUCCAGCAAUGCCGCGUGCAGGAUGAAGGCC
rnacentral:rRNA from 1 species